rnacentral:rRNA from 1 species
AAAGCUUGCUUUCUUUGCUGGCGACCGGCGCACGGGUGAGUAACACGUAUCCAACCUGCCCUUUACUCGGGGAUAGCCUUUCGAAAGAAAGAUUAAUAUCCGAUAGUAUAUUAAAACCGCAUGGUUUUACUAUUAAAGAAUUUCGGUUAUCGAUGGGGAUGCGUUCCAUUAGUUUGUUGGCGGGGUAACGGCCCACCAAGACUACGAUGGAUAGGGGUUCUGAGAGGAAGGUCCCCCACAUUGGAACUGAGACACGGUCCAA